AAAUGCGAUAAGUAGUGUGAAUUGCAGAAUUCAGUGAAUCAUCGAAUCUUUGAACGCACAUUGCGCCCUUUGGUAUUCCUUAGGGCAUGCCUGUUCGAGCGUCAUCUAAACCUUCAAGCUCUGCUUGGUGUUGGGUGCCUGUCCCGCCUCCGCGCGCGGACUCACCUCAAAUCCAUUGGCGGCCCCCGCGUCGGCCACGAGCGCAGCAGAAACGCGAACUCGUGAGCCCGUCCGGGCGGCUCCCAGAAGCUACACCCACCCAGUUUGACCUCGGAUCAGGUAGGGAUACCCGCUGAACUUAAGC
rnacentral:misc_RNA from 1 species